rnacentral:misc_RNA from 1 species
UUUCCGUAGGUGAACCUUCGGAAGGAUCAUUACUGAAAUGCCUAACGCAGGGCCCCGCGCCUCUGUGCAAGCAUUAUACCCACCCUUGACUUUGAGCACCGUAUGUUUCCUCGGCGGGGACGCCCGCCAUCGAGGACUCUCCAAACCCUUUGCAGUAGCAGUAUUUGUCUGAAAACACAAAACUAUUAAAACUUUCAACAAUGGAUCUCUUGGUUCUGGCAUCGAUGAAGAACGCAGC